UCCCUGGGGGUUCAGUGGUUAGGACUCAGCACUUUCACUGCCAUGGCCUAGGUUCAAUCCCUGGUCAAGAAA
rnacentral:tRNA from 1 species